ACUCUUCUCCUCCACCACCUUAUGAGUACAAGUCACCACCACCACCGUCUCCUUCACCUCCACCACCUUAUGUGUACAAGUCACCACCACCUCCACCUUAUGAACACAAGGCUCCAUCUUAUGAAUACAAGUCACCACCUCCACCAUCACCCUCACCUCCACCACCAUAUGUGCACAAGUCACCACCAUAUGUAUACAAGUCACCACCUCCUCCAUCACCAUCACCACCACCACCAUAUGUAUACAAGUCACCACCUCCACCUCCUUAUGUGUACAAGUCUCCACCACCUCCACCAUAUGUGCACAAGUCACCACCAUAUGUAUACAAGUCACCACCUCCUCCAUCUCCAUCACCACCACCACCAUAUGUGUACAAGUCACCACCUCCACCACCUUAUGUGUACAAGUCUCCACCACCUCCACCAUAUGUGCACAAGGACCCACCAUAUGUCUACAAGUCACCACCUCCUCCAUCCCCAUCACCACCCCCUCCAUAUGUGUACAAGUCACCACCUCCACCUCCCUAUGUGUACAAGUCUCCACCACCUCCACCAUACGUGCACAAGGAUCCACCAUAUGUGUACAAGUCACCUCCUCCUCCUUCCCCAUCACCACCACCUCCAUAUGUGUACAAGUCACCACCUCCACCACCUUACGUGUACAAGUCACCACCUCCCCCACCUUAUGAACACAAAUCACCACCAUACUAUUACAAGAGUCCUCCACCACCCUCCCCCUCACCUCCACCUCCUUACUACUACAAAUCUCCUCCACCACCCUCACCUUCCCCUCCCCCACCAUACUAUUANNNNNNNNNNNNNNNNNNNNNNNNNNNNNNNNCCCAUAUAUUCACAAGGACCCACCAUACUAUUACAAGUCCCCACCGCCACCUUCCCCAUCUCCUCCACCACCCUACUACUAUAAGUCUCCCCCACCACCUUCACCAUCUCCUCCACCACCAUACUACUACAAAUCUCCACCUCCUCCAUCUCCUAUUCCCCAUACUCCUUACUACUACAAGUCCCCACCACCACCCAAGGUCCUUCCACCACCAUACUAUUACAACUCUCCUCCUCCACCAGUUGCAUAUCCUCACCCACAUCCCUACCACCACUCAUUGAUUGUGAAGGUAGUCGGUAAAGUCUACAGCUUCAGGUGCUAUGACUGGGAGUAUCCUGAAAAGUCUCAUAACAAGAAACAUCUCAAAGGUACAUUACAUAACUAAAGAUUGGACUUAUUUAGAGUAGCAAGUUUAUAGAUAACGCAUUCUUAACUAUUUAUCAGUUAUACUUUAGUUUACGUUAAAAUUAUUUUUAAAAUAAACACAAUUUUACCAUAGUUUUAAUCCUCAAUCUUUCGAUAAAAAACAAUACAAUUCUGUUUUGUUUUAAAAAUAUAUCCAUAAAUUAUUCAAACUUAAUUUCUAUACAAAAUACAAAAGAUAUAAAAAAAGUUUAAUAAUCAAUAUGUGAAAUAUAUAUUAUCUACUUGUCAUUAGAAUUUAAUAAUCCUAUCUCACAUUAAUAUUCUUUUUGACAAUGAUUGUUUAAUAUAUUGCUAUUUUAAUAAUAUUCCAAUAUAAUAUGUGACUUCAUAUUUUACUUUGUCCUAAACUUUUUUUUAUUUUGGGGCAGGUGCUGUUGUUGAGGUCACUUGCAAAGCUGGAAGCAAAAUCAUCAAGGCUUAUGGAAAAACUAAGAUCAAUGGAAAGUACAGCAUCACAGUUGAGGACUUUGAUUAUAUCAAAUAUGGUGCCACAGUGUGUAAGGCCGCCCUUUAUGCUCCACCUAAAGGAUCCCCCUUCAACAUCCCUACUAAGCUAAAUGAAGGAACUAAAUUGUACUUGAAAUCAAAGGACAAGUAUGAGGUUGUGCUUAAGGCUAAGCCAUUUGCUUAUGCUUCAAAGAAACAUUUUAAAGAAUGUGACAAGCCCAAGCCUUCACCAACUCCAUACUACUACAAAUCACCUCCACCUCCCUCACCUGUUUACAAGUACAACUCUCCACCUCCACCAGUCCAUUAUUAUUCACCACCAUAUUACUACAAAUCACCUCCUCCUCCAGUAAAAUCGCCACCAACACCUUACUACUACAAAUCACCUCCACCUCCCUCACCAGUUUACAAGUACAACUCACCACCUCCACCGGUCCAUUAUUACUCUCCUCCAUAUUCCUAUAAGUCGCCUCCACCUCCCUCACCAGUUUACAAAUACAACUCCCCACCUCCACCAGUCCACCAUUAUGAUCCUCCAUAUUACUACAAGUCACCUCCACCUCCCUCACCAGUUUACAAGUACAACUCCCCACCUCCACCAGUCCAUUAUUAUUCACCUCCAUAUUACUACAAAUCCCCACCUCCUCCUGUGAAAUCCCCACCACCCCCUUACUACUAUAAAUCACCUCCACCUCCCUCACCAGUUUACAAAUACAACUCACCACCUCCACCGGUUUACAAGUACAACUCACCACCUCCACCAGUCCACCAUUAUGAUCCUCCAUAUAACUACAAGUCACCUCCACCUCCUUCACCUGUUUACAAGUACAACUCCCCACCUCCACCAGUCCAUUAUUAUUCACCUCCAUAUUACUACAAAUCACNNN
rnacentral:lncRNA from 1 species